GCUCAGUGCUCACCUUUAGAUCAGUGUUCAAAUCCUUAUCCUCUUGAGGCAGGAAUUUUAUUUUAUAUUUUUAAACAUUGAAAAAUUUCCAGAAUGCCCCUUACAAAAUAUACUAUAAGGUAUUACCCCUCCUUCCAUUUUAGUCGAGAGGCAUGAGUAGAGGGGGAGAGGAGGGGCACGAUGAAAUCCCUAACAAAUAGUUCUUCCCCUUCCAUUCUCCACCUCCUUUGUUCUUCCUUUUCCUUGCCGUCGAUGAGCAUGCACGAAGGAGUGGGGUCUAUCUCUACUGGAAGAUGCUGUUAAGCUCAUGGGUUGUUCUUCCUCCACCAUUUUCGGUACUGUCGAUUUUUUCCCCAAACAUUCCGUCAGUCGCAGGGGAUUGUGGGUACAUUCGUGACGCUACUGGAGAUUUGAUUCAUGAGUUUUUCUUCUUCCCUGUUUGGUGCUGUAUAUUCUUCUUCCAGUUUUGUGCUUCGCCAUCGGUCCACUCUUCUUUUCCCUUUCUUGUGCCAUGGGCCUUCUGGAGUGGGUGUAGAAGAUUUGGUUCCCUUCCUUCUUUCCCUUUUGGCUUCUUUGGUGAUUUGAACUCCGCUUUCGUUCUCUCCUUGUAUCAGAUCUUUGCGUGUGUUUAUGAGUGUGUUGCUUGAAAUUGAUUCUCCCUCUCUGGUCUAGUGUGGUGCUUAAAUGGGAGGGUGAUUGAGGUCUUUGAAAACUGAAUAAAGAACAUGUUUUUGAUAGAUAAUUUCUCCAUAAUUGUUUGGCUGUUGCUUGACAGGCUUAAAUUUUCUUUUAGCUUACAUCGAUUUUGAUGGGAAUUUGGCUUGUGCUGAUGAAAUGAAAUAUGGGAAGCUUAUUUAAUUCAAAUGUUGUCACUUGAAAUUUUUAAGAAGGGAACUGGGUAGGAAGAAGCUUGGUAUUAUUUUGAACUUUGAUGUAUGCAAGGUGAUCAAUAGAGUGCUUGAAUGGAGAAAUUGACUAUGGGUUCUAUACUGAAACUAUUGGUCGAUUAAAUUACUAUAGUAGAUAAUUAUUUUAUAUAAUAAAAAGUUGGAAAUAAAGGUAAGAAAUUUUGGAAAAAAAAAUUGAUUAAUAAUUAUAUGUCCAAGAUUGCUGUUCUUGUGUUAUCUUUUAGGUACAUAUAUAGUGUUUGAUGAAAUGUUUGAGUUAAGGAAGUUUAUGAAAUUGGAUAUACAUGAGUGAUAAUAUUGAUUAGAUCAUAGUGGGAUUUGUCUAUUUUUUAUGGGAAAACUUGGAAACUUCGAAUACUAUCCAUAUACAUGUUGUUGAGAUUUUCCUUUCCCAUUCUCUAAAUUUGUUUGGAUCAUAGAUUUUGGAUUUAUAAAGUGUAUAAAAGAAAUAAAAAUAAUGUCCCUUUGGGCAUUAGGGAAUGAAGGCAUGGACAAGGUUACAUAAAUGGCUAAUUAGGAGUAAAUUAUAUAUAUAUGAAAAUGCCUCAGCUAAGUGAAUAAUGUCCCAAUGACUUGUUAAUAAAUUUUUUUUGUUAAAAAUAUUGAUUGAGCAUAUUUCCUCACACACACAUGAUGUUAUGAUUUUAAUUCUAUUAUUGAUAUUUAAAGGUUAGUCUAAACGAAGAUUUAUUUGAUUUUUGUUAUUUUUCAAUAUCCUGAUUACAAACACCCAAGCAUGAGAACUUGUCUCAAGAAAGUUCUAUGAUUAACAAUAUUAUUUUGUGAAUUUCAAUAUUUGACAAAUGAUAUGGUGUUCCAUCAAAAAUUGGAUUCCAUACACGUUUGAAAAUCUUUUGGUGGAACUGAAUACAGAACGCUGAUUGCUAAUAGCAGGAUUGUUAGCCCUUGACGUGCCAUGGUACACCUAGCUAGCAAGGUGCUUAGGAGAUGCUAGCCCCGUGUAAUAGCCAAUGCACAUGAAUUGGAGGGAUGAUGAUAUAAGCUAAACUUGUAUGUCAAGGUGUUACUUGAGGCAUUUUAGAAAGAAUUGUUUCAGACAAGUUUUGCUUGAUGUAAAUUUGAAUCCUAUAUUAAUUUCAUGGUCUGGUUCUAGGUGCUCCAUGUAUAAUGUGGGUAGGAUUCUCGUCUUUCUUUAAAGAUUGUGUAUUUGUUGGUAGGGAGUGGAGAUUCUUUUAUUUAAUUAUUAUUGUUUUUUGUCAUACAUUUCAGGCAGUCUUAUUUACAUGAAAGUAAUAUUAACAAUUUCUACAAGAAAUUUAUUGUUUUUUUUUUGUGUGAAAUCAAUUAAAGACAAUAGAUUUUAUAUAAAAAAUAUGCCUAUAGUUUUGCAUGGAUGAAAAUAUAUUUAUUCAAGGCUUAAGGGAUAUGGGUUUUACACACAUAUUCCGUGCCAAUCAUGCCUUAAAUUUUUUGGGGCGUGACAAAACUUUCAAUGGCAAUUAGCAUCAAAGCAGCCUUUAUGCCCUCCUCUUCAACUAUCCCAACAUAGAUGUGUCAUGUGUUCUUGAGCAUGGUUGGAGCUAGAAAAGUUUAUUAGGGGGUUGAGAUGAUGACAAACCAUAUAUGAUAAUUGAAAGAAAAUUAAAUCUAUGUAUAUCACUAACAUAACAUGUAUAAAUAUUUCAACAUAUAUAUUUGUAUUCAAUUAUACAUAAUAAUAAUUAUUAUAUAUACCUUUAUUUUUUAAGUUUUGCUUAUCAAUUUUUUAUGGUAUAUAAGAAUAAUGAAUUAUGAUCUCUAUGAUAAAAUUUUUAGCAAUUCCUUCUCGAUAUAAACUAUCAUUAAAUUGGAGAAGAUUUCAUCUUUCAAAUAAGCAUUGCAUAAUUUAAAUGCAUCCUUGGGAUAUAAAGUUUUGCUCAAUCUAAAAAACUCAAUUACUUGCUUAAUGAAUGUACUAUUUAAUUCUUUUAAUUGAUAAUUGUAGUAAAUAAAUAUAUCGACACCAUAAUGAUACUCAAUAUUCACAAAUUCUUUAUGUCAAUGAGAUCUAAGUAUAUCAUAGUAAAAAAAAUUCAUGUAAUAAAUUUCAAUAGCUUUGUUAUUAUAGAGAAAAGAAAUUUUUUUGUAGAAGAACAUAUAUUAACCAUAACCUCUUAACUUUAGGAUAAAUGAUUUUAUGAUAGUUAUUAAGCACAUGGCAUUUAAUAUAUCUUGGAAUUUUUGUUGCAGUGUGCUUGACAAAGUUUGUUAGUAAUAAUUCUUAUAAUUUUUUUUCAUCAAAUACAAAAUGAAAGCUAAAUCAAAUGACAUCAAUACUUUAAAAGCAAUUAAAACAUUAUCUUGUUAAAAAUAAAUAAAUAUAUUUUAUUAUGACUCUAUCUUCAAGCUACUGAAGAUAUGGAGCUAAUGCUAAAGCCACAAUCUUUGACAAUGCAACUAUUCAUGAGUAAAUCACUUAGAGCAAUACUUCUCUUAUCAUUUUAUAAUUCUUUCAAACAUAUUUCUAAAUGCAUCCGGUCUGGCGAAAAUGUGAAUUUGAUAAUGCAAAUCUUCGUGGAGCUUCGUUCAAACAUGCUGUCCUUGAGACUGCAAAACUAAAAGGUACAUUUGAUCUUUUAUUGUUUUAAUUUACUGUUUUAUAUGCAAUUCUGCUGAUGCUUGCUUAAGAGACUGUACCUUAUUCAAAACAGUCUAGAGUUUUGCGGAUCUCAAGGUUUACCACCAAACAUAAUCUGUAAAUUUUAUACUUAUUUGUUCUAGCGACAGUAGCAAGUGUAGGCAGGUUUAUGUUUGGUUUAAGCUCAAACUGAGGUUUGGAUCCCAAAGUCAGUUUGAAACAAAAAAAAAAAAAGAAACUUUCUUUGUAUAAAAAUUGUAGGAAAAUGUAUGGCUUUUUGCUUAAACUUAAGGUUGGGGUAGAAGCUGAUUUUUUUUUUUUUUGACUUUUGGCUUUUUUGUUCAUUUAACAAAAUAUAAAUCUUGUUCAGAAAAAAAAAUCCAAAUAUAAAUCAUGUUAAACAAAUAUGAUUUUUUUAUUUAGUUUAGGGAAAACACAAUCAUUAGUGCCUAAAAUUUUAACAAGAUUGGGGAUUUUUUCUUCACGUCCCCAACGGUGUUAAAUUACACGAACUAUAAUGACUAAAAAUAUUAAAAAAAAUAUAGAAAUUAAAACAAAAUCCACCAAUGAUUGUGUUUUUUCUUCAUAUUAUAUAUUUAUAUACAUGUCUAGAAGUUACUUCAAUUGAAUAGAUUUUGUUUGUGAUACUAGAAUAUUAACAAUAAAAGUUCAUUAUUAAUUUUAACAGCAUGGAAGACUCAUAGCAUGUCUUAGUAAUUUAUAAACAAGUUGGCAUUAGUACUUGAUAGUACAUUUGAGGUUCAUCCAACUACAUUAUCCUAUGUGCCUUUUUCCAUUAUUGUUAAAUAUUUUAGUGGCAAUUAAUCGUAGGACAGACUCUUUUCCUUUUCAUUCAAGGAACUUUCGUUGGACCCUCUAGUGCCCAUCCUUGGCUGCAUAGAAACAAUGACCUAGAAUCAUGUCAUUUGUUGCAAACUGAUUUUAAUUAUCCAUUGAGUUGUACCCUCUUCGCCUCAGAAUGCAGAUCUUACAAAUGCCAACCUAGAGAGAGCUAACCUAGAAGGAGCUAAUUUAGAGUCAAGAGAUUCUGGAUCUCUCAGUGCAUUCUAUAACUAGAAUAUAAUUUGUAGAUCAAUGUUAUAAUCGUAUAUAAAUAUUGAUAUAGACAAAAAUGCAGCUUUAAUUUUUUUUAAAUUUUACACAAAAUGGGCAUUUGGAUUCUUUAAUUCUAUAAAGUAUAUUUUCAAUCUUAAAUCCUCACACCAUUGGUUUUAUUAAAAAAAAAAGUUGACAAUAAACUUUUAAAAUUUGACAAAACAUUAUCAAAUAUUAAUACUAAGUUUAAUAUUUUGGAAAAACAGUGUUGAUAAUGGCACAACAAAAUCAUCACUUAAGACUAGUUGUGUUAAGGUUAGAAGACUAAAAAAGUAUUUUAUAAAAUUAAAGAAUUAAAUUGAAGCAUUGUAUAAAAUUAGAGGACACAAAAUUCACUUUUUCCCAUAGAUAUAUUUGAACUUAGACAUAUUAAAACACAUUUCACUAUGAAUUGUGACAAGGAUUCAUGUGAUUCGUUUUUGUGGGACUCAUAACAUAUUGGCAGCCGGACACCCCACACUGCUUCUCUAUCUUUCCACGUUUAAAGUAAAGUGAACCGUGUGAUUUUAGAUAUCAUGCCAAACAUUAGAUGCUCUCUUGUUUCAACUAAUUUGAUGAAAAAUUACUUAUUUUAAAAAAACUAUUUUGUGAAUUUUUAUGGUAUUUGUUUAAACAUUUGAAAAUAAUCAGAAUUUGAAAAAAAAAUACAAAUUUCUGAUUAUUAAUUUUAUGAUGUCCGUUGAUCGAUUAAGGUUUUAAUAGUGAAUUAUAUCUUCUUCUUUUUUUGCAUUAAAAUUUUCUUUAAUUUUAAGUUACAGUAUUCUUGCUUUAAAGUUAUAGAUUAUUUUAAUUAAUUUUGUAUUUCGGGAAGCAAAGUUCAACGAUGCCAACCUGAAGAGUGCAAACCUUAGAAAAGCUCUCUUUGUAAGCUGAUCAUGAUCUUGCCGCAAAAUUUUACUUGACGAAUAAUUUUACCCUUUAGCAUUGAGACUUUAUGGGCUUGUUUGGUUUUGUUUUUAUUUUUUAUUCUUAAAAACUAUUUUGUAAAUAAAUUUUAAAAAUAUUUUUUAUAAUAAAACAAAAUAAAAACUUGUUGGAUUAUGUUUAAUUUAAAAAUAAGUUUACAGUUAAGAAGAAGAAGAAGAAGAAGCCAACAAUGAUGGUAGCUAGUGGUUGAUGAAGAUGACCUUUAACAGUGGUGGUGAUGGGAAGAAAUAGAAAAAGAAAUAAUUAAAGAUAUUACAAAGAUAUUUUAGAUUUGAAGAUCGAAGAUAUUUUGCUUUCAUAUUAAUUAUAAAUAUUUUAUUUUAAUUUGAAUUAUUGUUAUCUUUCAACAUUUAUUAUUAUCUUUUCAGUUAUUGUUAUCUUUUUAUUUAAUUUUAGAAUAUCUAUGAUUUUCAUGCAUUUAUUUCUAGGGUUGGGUUGAGACCUAUAAAUAACAUCUCAACUCAUUUGAUUUGUAUGCAUGUUUGAUUGAAUAAGAAUUAUUGUUAUCUUGCGUCUCCUCUGACUUUUCUCUUCUCUCUAUUCUUUUUAUUGAUCCCUUUAUUUCUUUUCUAUAUUCCUACCCCCUUCUUCCUCAUUCUGCAUUAAUUGGCAUCAGAACCAAGGUUCUCACACUGCUUCUAUUACCAAAUCCACUCUAAAAUACUAUUACCAAAUCCACUCUAAAAUACCUUCUUAGUACCAAGAAUCAUCAUACAGAAAUACUUUGGGAGAUAAGUUUCUGAUUUAAGACUCCUUAAGUUACUUGGUAAGGUUUUUCUAUCCUAAAUUUUAGGUCCCUUACUAUUUGUCUCCUUUUCUUGUUCCUUUUUCCUAUUAUUCUUGUUUGUUUUCACUUUCCUUCACUUUAAGUCAUUCUACCAUAUUUCCUUCUUUUUGAUAUUAUUUUGUUUUCCAUAUUUCCUUUCCUUCAUUCACUCAUUUGAUUUUUCCUUUAAUUCAACUCUUAAAAAAAUCACCUUAUAAAUAGUUAUCUACCUUAAGCUAGUCAAAGUUUUUAUCAAUUUCCUUGAGGGGUUUCUAGGCCCCCAAAGGUCACUGUGAAGACUUCACUCUAGUUGUUAAUUAUUUAGCAAGUGUAAUCCUUGAGGAGCUUUUAAGUUCUUGAAGGGUUAGGCUUGUUGAAUAGGGUUUUCACCUUUUAGGUAAGGGUAAUGUGGGAACCUUUUCUCAAAUAGGAUAUUAGAGCUUUCCAUUAAAAAAAAAAACCUUCCAUUGCCUACAGUCACAAAAAAACAAAACACAUUCAAUCAUGAUGUUAUGGUCUUAUUUAAUUGCUGACAUGCAUCAAUAUAAUCAUAUGGAUUGUCAUCGAUAUAAUUAUUAUUGUUAAUAUGAUUAUGCUGAUCGUCACCACUAUAAUUAGUCAAUCAUCAUCAAUGUCAUUAGCAAUAUAAUUUAGUUGAUCAAUCAGACUUGUAUUUCAUAUGUUCACGUCUUGAACUUGUGAGGGAUAAAAUUGAUGAACUCCAAAGCUUCCUUCAAUCAACAUUAAAAGAAGGGCAAUGCUGUCAAGUUGAGAAAGAGAGAGAGAGAGGUCAUAUUAAAAGGAAGAAACUUUUAAUCCUAUCAAGAGUAUCUUAUAACCACACAAAGACCUUAAUAUUUUGACUUCUAAAGGGGAUAAUACACUCAACAAAGACUUUUAACUAUAUCAGUAGUGCCAGAAAGCAAUGGUGUUGAUAAUUUUAAGAUUAAUGUAUGUGACGAUCUAGACGUGAAGGAGGUUUCAAACUAUACUAAUGAUUCUACACCUACUCUAAAGAUAGGUGAUAUUGAGAAACAAGUAGAAGCCAGUAAUAUGACAAAGCAAUUGCAUAUACAAAUUCUAUUUACGAUGAUUAUUCCUUUUGAAACUAUUGAUGAUGGUAUGCAAUUUGAUCUUGAUCCUAUUUUACCUUGUUGGUUUGCUACACCACAUAGUGCUGAGGUUAUUGUAACUCUAGAAGAACAAUUUGUUCUUGAACCACAUGAUCCCCUCUAAUAUUACCUUAUUUGUUGGAAAGGAUUUCCAAACUUGCACUUUUAUAAUUCUACAUGCUCAAAUUGUUUGCUAUUCACUUGAUGCCAUUUAUUGGUAUCUGAUUUGCUGGAAAGGAUUUCUAAAUAGAGACAUAACUCAGAAUCUCUUGAUCCUAUUGUACUUUCAGAGCAUAUCCAUAAUUUAACUCCCCAAAGGAGAGUUCUUUAAGUGGGGGAGAGAUGAUGAGAAGAAAUAGAAAAAGAAAUAAUUAAAGAUAUUAUAAGGAUAUUGAAAAUUUGAAAAUAUAAGAUAUUUUGCUUUCAUAUUAAUUAUGAAUAUUUUGUUUUAAUUUGAAUUAUUGUUAUCUUUCAACAUUUAUUAUUAUCUUUUCAGUUAUUGUUAUUUUUUAUUUAAUUUUAGAAUAUCUAUUAUUUUCAUACAUUUAUUUCUAGGGUUGGGUUGAGGCCUAUAAAUAGCACCUCAACUCAUUUGAUUUGUACACACAUUUGAUUAAAUAAGAAUUACUGUUAUCUUGUC